rnacentral:rRNA from 1 species
GAAAUGCGAUAAGUAAUGUGAAUUGCAGAAUUCAGUGAAUCAUCGAAUCUUUGAACGCACCUUGCGCUCCUUGGUAUUCCUUGGAGCAUGCCUGUUUGAGUAUCAUGAAAUUCUCAAAGCAAAUCUUUUGUUAAUUCAAUUGAUCCUUUGCUUUGGACUUGGAGGUUCUUGCAGAUUUUUAUUUUCUGCUCCUCUUAAAUAAAUUAGCUGGAUCUCAGUAUAUACUCGGUUCCACUUGGCGUGAUAAGUAUCACUCGCUGAGGACACUUCUUGUAAUAAAGGGUGGCCGGGGAAUACAGAUGAACCGCUUCUAAUCGUCUAUUUAAUUUAGACAAACUUUAUAUUUCAGAUCUGAUCUCAAAUCAGGUAGGACUACCCGCUGAACUUAAGCAUAUCAAUAAGCGGAGGAAAAGAAACUAACAAGGAUUCCCUAGUAAC